rnacentral:rRNA from 1 species
CGCCAGACUCCUACGGGAGGCAGCAGUGGGGAAUAUUGCACAAUGGGGGAAACCCUGAUGCAGCAACGCCGCGUGAAGGAAGACGGUUUUCGGAUUGUAAACUUCUAUCAAUAGGGAAGAAAGAAAUGACGGUACCUAAAUAAGAAGCCCCGGCUAACUACGUGCCAGCAGCCGCGGUAAUACGUAGGGGGCAAGCGUUAUCCGGAUUUACUGGGUGUAAAGGGGGCGCAGACGGCGAUGCAAGCCAGGAGUGAAAGCCCGGGGCCCAACCCCGGGACUGCUCUUGGAACUGCGUGGCUGGAGUGCAGGAGGGGCAGGCGGAAUUCCUGGUGUAGCGGUGAAAUGCGUAGAUAUCAGGAGGAACACCGGUGGCGAAGGCGGUCUGCUGGACUGCAACUGACGUUGAGGCCCGAAAGCGUGGGAAGCAAACAGGAUUAGAUACCCUUGUA